UACAGAGGGUGCAAGCGUUAAUCGGAAUUACUGGGCGUAAAGCGUGCGUAGUCGGUUAUUUAAGUCGGAUGUGAAAUCCCCGGGCUCAACCUGGGAAUUGCCUUUGAUACUGGGGAUCUUGAGUCCGGGAGAGGUGAGUGGAAUUGCGAGUGUAGAGGUGAAAUUCGUAGAUAUUCGCAAGAACACCAGUGGCGAAGGCGGCUCACUGGCCCGGUACUGACGCUGAGGUGCGAAAGCGUGGGGAGCAAACAGG
rnacentral:rRNA from 1 species